ensembl:snRNA U6 U6 spliceosomal RNA
GUGCCCUCUGCAGCAGCACAGACACUAAAAUAGGAACCACAUGGGGAGGACCAGCAUGGCCUCCGUGCAAGGAGCACGUGCAAAUCCGUGACGCGGUCCACACUUCG